UGCAAGUCACGUUUUUUGGUCAAAUUUUGGCCAGUAGGGUCCCGCAGCCUUACGGGGCCUUAAGCCGAAUCUCGGCUGCGGGUACUGCGGUACUGCGGACCCGCUAGGACCCGCAGGAUUUGCCAGCCCCUGGAUUAUUGGGAAACUAGCUAGCCAAGAAACCAACAUACGAAGCUACCAAGGAAAACAGGCAGCCAGGCUACAAGGGGC
rnacentral:lncRNA from 1 species